UAGGUGGCUGAGUUUGGACCACCACCAAGUCUUACAGAGAAGGAAAUGGAGGUCCACAGACAGGAAGUAGCUUGCUGAAGCUGAGUUAUUGGCUUGGCUGGAAUGAGAACUCAGGUCAUCCACCUUCUGCUGAGACUCCUAUCCGGUGCUGGGCCCCAAGAGAGACAGCAGGAAAGUGUAGUCAAGAUAAGGCUCCAGAAACACAGCAGGACCUGGUCAGUACCUGGAAUGGUCAGGCCCAAGGAGUAAUUAACUGUGGGUUAUCAAAGGACCCACCGCCUGUGCCCACUGGAGACUGAUGCUGGCGGUCUGUUGAACCUGGUUUGUCCCUGGUGAAGACUAAAUGGCUCUUGGAGGGACUUGAAGGGACACCGACUCCUUCUGAGGCAGGUGAGCUGUGAAACUCCAUUGUUCACCAUCAAAGGGGACCCACCGGAGAAACAAUGAGAUCUCUACCCAGGAGAACAUUCCAGUUAAUAAAAGGCUGAGGCCGUCGGGGACCUAUUCCCUCCAGCAACA